rnacentral:lncRNA from 1 species
UCCAGGAGUAAUUCAUUAUCUUUCUGUUAUUUACAGUAUACUAUGAUUCACGUAUGGAUAAGACGCCGUGCAACAAAUAUACAAUCGCAUUUAUGUGACGGUGUAGUAAAAGUAGGCAAUUUUGAAGGUCUGUUUUGAAGUCUUUUCCUUGGAUUUAUGCAUACAUAUCAUUACAGCUGUACUGGGUACUGAGCUCCUUCGAUAUGUGUUCAAGGAUAACGACACCGAGCGAAGCAGUUCGUUUUUUUUUCCUUUCAACUUCACCAUCAGUCGCUCUUUAAUGAGGAAACCAUUGCACAGAGCUUGUUGUAUCAUUGCGUAAUCCGUCACAGAGAGCAAAACCGUCUCACUUUAGUACACAAUGGCAAAAUUUUUUCAGCUUUCACUGGCUAGCGUAUAGUAAACGGUGAGCAAAGCUUCCUAAAUAAGCAUUUAAGCAGUUUCUAUCAAAGCAGCUUUGUCAUAGCUACAAAUUUCAAGCUAUGGAUAAUUCACUAGGCACUUGCAAUGCUUAAGUGCUGUCUACCAAAUUUUAAGUCAUUCCUAUAACCAUGCGAUGGAGAUGGACGCGUUGGCAUCAGCGUUGCUAGACGCGUAUCAGUCCUGGCCCAACAACACACACAUCAAGGUGAACUGAUGUAAAUAUCGUCUUGUAGUACUACCAAGCGUUGAAGAUUCUGCGUUCGCGAGAUCUGUUAACGAGGAAGAAACUAUCUCAAUAAAGGGGAACAACGGUAACGAUUUUUUAUGUCGUCGAUAGUGGGCAAUUAAAUGUGUAAAAGGCGACGCACUUAUCAAUGCGCAUGGUGUUGAGGUUACCUUCGGGGAAGUCUCAUCGUUUGAUCUUACUAAUUGCCCUAUAUUACUACUCGAGCUCAAAUCAAUGCCGACGACAGUAUAGAUAAUUGUAAGGAGCUGCUUCUACGGAUAUGUAAACGGAAGCUGCAGUUUGAAAAGUGCAGAAUGGUCCUUUUGCUAGAAAAAACUUCGGCAAGAACGCGUCCCAAAUACGUCUUGCGUAUGUAAGUAGGGAUACGGCCAAAACUAGGAUGAGAAUAGAGGCGGGAUUACAACGUCUGCGCCGCUGGCGUAGCGAUGGAUCAUUCAGGCAGGUGGAGUUAGAUUCUCGUGGCGCCUUCGGUUGUAAACCGCUCCCAGUUCAAAUCGUGCAGAGAUAACUGAGGCAAGUUAUUGCAGCUUAAUUGUCUAACUUACCGUCGACACCUGGCUCGACUUAAGUACCUGAUAACUCACUAGCUUGAAAGACAGAUCAGAAGUGUUCGGAUCCGUAUAACUCUGUCGGAAGAGGCGAUGAAACUUGCCGAUGGAAUUCAGUGACGGUCAUACUGUAUCUAAUUAGGCUGACGUCAGGGACGGUUGUCGUUCCGUUAAAACAGGACGGGUCGGAGUUAUGGUCAAGGAAAACGGUGAUUACUGGGCGCAUUGUUGCCUCCUUUCGAGGAUUGUACUUUGCCAACCUUGCAACGAUCACAAAAAAUAACCUAGCAGUUAUUAUUGUCGCCGAUGACCUAACGAUCCGCGUAUCUGCAGAGUUGAGACUCUCGAAAAUAUACUGGACAGAUGCGUAGACAUCAUAAAGGAUAACAUAGAUAACAUUUCCGCGUAGAAAGCUCAAAUUUUCGACUCAAAAGGACGCAGCUGAAGGAUGAUGAUGACCUUCGCUAAGUGUCGUGCUACGCUGAAGACUCAACAAAACCCGACUGACUUCGAGAAUUAACAUUUGUCUCAGGAUAGGAAUUAUGAAGUUAACAGACAUGUGUUCCUCUGAAGACACGCGACCCAUAACAGCAAUAUUUAAGUUCACAAUGUUCUCUUUUCUACCUUUCUACUAUGUCUUGAAGCUCGCUUCAGGCGACAGAAUUCGGUGUGAAGUACGUACAGCAUGUUGACGGCAAGUUUAAGAAAUCGAUGCCUUUAUAAUUAAUAGAUUAUGCUAGACUACAGAGUAAAUGGACUGCGCUAAAGGCAGAAACGAUUAGAAUUAACGCAGGCAUUUGCGAUUAACAACGCCAUGCAAAAUAGGGUUACGAAAUAGAAGAAUGCUGCGAGCUGUUCUUCAUAUCACUGCCUCCCUUCUCCUGCUGAAGAUAUAGAAGUAGCAGAGCUCUAGGGAGUACGGUGUUAAGUAGAACCGUACCAAAUGACAUACACAAAUAAGCAUUACGUUUAUGUAUUUAAUUCCGCUACCGCAGUAGAAUAGAUACUGACAUAUUUUGUUCAUACACGUGAUACA